CGGCAACAGCUCAAAUUUGAAAUCUGGCCGCAAGGUCCGAGUUGUAAUUUGUAGAGGAUGCUUUUGGCGAGGUGCCUUCCGAGUUCCCUGGAACGGGACGCCAUAGAGGGUGAGAGCCCCGUACGGUAGGACCACCAAGCCUCUGUAAAGCUCCUUCGAC
rnacentral:rRNA from 1 species